GUUACUAACCUAAUGCUUGCAAAAGCGGCAGCCAUCAAAUCCUAAUAAGGCUGACUCAACUACAACCUAGUUGCUUCAGCCUUAUUAGGAUUUGAUGGCUGCCACUAUUGCUACAACCUAGUUGCUGC
rnacentral:pre_miRNA from 1 species